rnacentral:rRNA from 1 species
GACGAACGCUGGCGGCGUGCUUAACACAUGCAAGUCGAACGGAAAGGCCCUGCUUUUGUGGGGUGCUCGAGUGGCGAACGGGUGAGUAACACGUGAGUAACCUGCCCUUGACUUUGGGAUAACUUCAGGAAACUGGGUCUAAUACCGGAUAGGAGCUCCUGCUGCAUGGUGGGGGUUGGAAAGUUUCGGCGGUUGGGGAUGGACUCGCGGCUUAUCAGCUUGCUGGUGGGGUAGUGGCUUACCAAGGCUUUGACGGGUAGCCGGCCUGAGAGGGUGACCGGCCACAUUGGGACUGAGAUACGGCCCAGACUCCUACGGGAGGCAGCAGUGGGGAAUAUUGCACAAUGGGCGGAAGCCUGAUGCAGCAACGCCGCGUGCGGGAUGACGGCCUUCGGGUUGUAAACCGCUUUCGCCUGUGACGAAGCGUGAGUGACGGUAAUGGGUAAAGAAGCACCGGCUAACUACGUG